UGUCUAGAUCGUUGACCCACUACUACCAGAUCCCUCAAUGGCGACUUCUUGACAUUUGUAGAAAUUCGAUUUGGUCUUGUGGAAGGAUUGUAAUUUGGGAGGUUAUAGUUGCAUCUGCACGUCAUUUUAGUAUAUCACAAUUCACAAUUUUUAGUUGUCUUUUUUUUUAAUUGUUUAUUAUAAGAUGAUGGAUAAUAUCAUUAUUAUUAUUUAUAUGCACAGGUGGUUGUUUCUGAAAUAAUAGUUCUAGUUGUUGCUCUUGAUCUGAGGAGGUAUGAAGUUAAAUAAACUUAUUUUAUAUAUUAUUUUUGUUGUUACUUCCUGCAUCAAGAGAUUUUAACAGGGGAUUGCUUUUGUGGACAUUGUGGCUACAACAAGUCUAUGUGUCAAAAUUUGACGAUUCACAUAUGGUUUUGUAGAUCAUAUUCUGGUUCUACGAUCGAUGCUUGGAUGGUGUGUUAAAAUGAUUGGUUUUUUCAUGUCAACAUUUUUGGGCCAAAAGUUGGAACUCUUAGAUUUCAUCACAACAACCACAAACUUGCAACAUGGUUCAAGAUACAGCUCUAGCUUUAUUAAGAAAUGAAUUCAAGAUGUUAAAGUUUUACACAUUUAUUCCUUUAUAAUUGUAGAACUUGUUUAUACUUUAAAGAAAUAUAUACCUUUGUGU
rnacentral:lncRNA from 1 species